UAUCCACUUCGAGCAAAAUAAUAUUUUAUUACAUAAAUAUACAAUACGAUAUAUUAUUACGUACAAUUGGUCAUUGGAACACAUGGUCGAGUCCCAACAAGCAUUCAUAGAAGAAAGAAUUAUUCAUGUGGCCAAUGGUAGAUCUUUAUUUUGUAAACAACGUCAAAUAAUCAAUAAAAAUCGUUAUCACCAUUCUAUUUGUGUUUACACUUGCGGGCUGCAGUUCAGACCGAGGUGCGCUUGUAUAUUAAUUUUAAUUUUAUAUUGAUAUAAAGAACAUUAUUACUAUCGUACUUAAAAUUUAUUUCAGUAUUUCAUUAUAAUUACCCGGGUUACAAAUAUUUGAUAUUCUUCGGUUAAUCGAAGAAUCAUUUAAAUACACCCAUAGUGGAAAACACUAUAAAUAAUGAAUCGACGGAGACGGGCGUCAUCAAUUGCUAGUCGAGCAACUGAUGACGAAGUAGAAAGUUCUCCAGUCGAACACACACGCAAAAAAAGACGAGUGGAUCCGGUAUAUGUUGACAUAGUUCAAUCAGUAUAUGAUACAUUACGAAAUUUUAAAAAGGAAGACGGCACUUUAUUAUGUGAUGGUUUUAUUAGAGCUCCCAAAAGAAGACAAGAACCAACAUAUUAUGAUGUAGUUUCCAAUCCAAUAGACAUGAUAAAAAUUCAACAAAAAAUAAAAACUGAUGAAUAUGAUGAUAUUGAGGAUUUACAAGCUGAUAUAGAAUUAUUAACAAACAAUGCAAAGUCAUUUUAUAAGAAAAAUUCUCAAGAGUAUAAAGAUGCAGUAGAGUUGUGGGAUGUUUUUUUAGCGACCAAAAAUAAUUUAAUGGAAAGAGAAGGAACACCCAAAGAAAAGCUUGUUCUUCGUGUUGGAAAAUUGGGUAAAAGAGGGGGAUCAGCAGCUUCGGUAUCAAAGUCUGAACACACUGAUGAAGAAGAAAGUAAUUCAUCAUUUGCUGGAAUGGAUGAUGAAUUAGCUAUGUGUGAAGAAUUAUUUACUGCUGUAAUGUCUGCUACAGAUAAUGAUAAUCGUCUUUUAUCAGCUGCAUUUCAGCUUUUGCCUUCUAAAAAACGUUAUCCUAAUUAUUAUGAAGUUAUAGAAAAUCCGAUUGACUUACGAUCUAUUGCUCGUAAAAUACAAGAUGGAAAGUAUACAAAUUUAGCUGAAAUGGAACGAGAAUUAUUAAUAAUGACAAAAAAUGCAUGUUUAUUUAAUGAGCCUGGUUCACAAAUAUACAAAGAUGCUAAAACUCUAAAAAAAGUAAUUACUAGUAAAAAAAUAGAAGUUGAUCAUGGUAAAUAUGCACCAAGCAAAAGUAGUGAAAGAAUAAGGGCUAAACGUAUGAGAGGUAGUCAAACUUCAAUGUCUGCUGUAACAGCUGCUUUACAAUCUGAAGAUGAGGAAGAUUCUGACUUAGAUGAAGAUACUGUGACUGAUAGUCAAAGUAAUGCUGAUGGUCCUGAUAAUCCUAGAUGGCAGUUGUAUAAUGCUGUCCGUUCAGCUAAUGGAUCACAAGGAAAUUUGCUCAGUGAUUCAUUUUGGAAAUUACCAUCCAAACGAUACUAUCCUAACUAUUAUCAUGAAAUUCGUAAUCCACUUUCACUAAUGCAAAUUGGAAAAAAAUUAAAGAAUGGUGAUUAUGGUACAGUCAGUGAAGUGGCAGGGGAUAUGAAUGUUAUGUUAGAAAAUGCAAAAAAAUAUUUUACCCCGGAUACAAAACAAUAUAAGGAUGCUGUAAAAUUACAAAAAGUUAUGCAGACUAAAGCUCAAGAAUUGUUAGACUUAGCACAUCAAUAUUCUGAUAGUGAAGAUGAUUCUGCUGAUGAUGAUUUAUCUCAUUCAACGUCUCGAACAUCUAAGAAAUUUGCUCGUUCUCCGCGAUGUCUUACUCGAGGAAAAUAUUUGAAUAAUAUUCCUCUUAAGCGACGUUUAUAUGCUCUAUGCAAAUGUUUAAUGGAUUAUACAACUGAACAUGGUCGUGUACCUAUGUUAAUGUUUAUGGAAAGGCCAUCUAAAAAACUGUAUCCUGAUUAUUAUAAAGUCAUUGCCGAACCAAUUGAUAUGCUAACAAUUGAAGAGAAAAUAAAACAAGAAAAGUAUAAGAGUGAAGACGAAAUAUUGCUUGAUUUUAAAUUAAUGUUCGAUAAUUGUCGUCAAUUUAAUGAAGAAGGAUCAUUAAUUUAUGAAGAUGCAAAUACUUUAGAAAAGGUACUUUUAGAUCGCUCUAAAGAGUUGGGUCCCGUGUUAAGUAAACCUAAUAAAAUUGUUUCUAGUUCAUUGUUGAAAUUCCGGAAAUCUCAGCUUCCUCAAGCAACCCUUCAAAAAAUGCGUACGUUAUUCAACACUAUUAAAGAUUAUAAAGACCAAAAAGGUCGUUUGUUAUCUAUUAUCUUUAUGAAACUUCCAUCCAAAAGUGAAUAUCCAGAUUAUUAUGAGGUUAUAAAAAAACCUAUUAAUUUGGAAGUAAUAUCUCAAAAACUUAAGAAUAAUUUGUAUGAAAGCCUCGAUGAUUUGGCUGCGGAUUUUGUAGUGAUGUUUGAUAAUGCUUGUAAAUAUAAUGAGCCUGAUUCUCAAAUUUAUAAAGAUGCAUUAACAUUACAAAGACUUACAUUGCAAACUAAGUUACAAUUGAGAGCAGAUGAAGACAGUACUCCUGAUGUUCAAAGUGCAGUUCAAGAAUUAUUAACUUCACUUUUUACCAGUGUUUAUAACCAUCAAGAUGAAGAAGGGCGAUGUUUUUCAGAUUCUAUGGCAGAAUUACCUGAGCAUGAUGACAUUGAUGGUCAUAAGAUCAGAGGCUUGUCUUUAGAUUUAAUUAAAAGAAGAUUAGAUGGAAAUCAAUACAAACGAUUAGAUACAUUUCAAGAUGAUUUAUUCGCAUGUUUGGAACGAGCUAGGCAGCUGUCACGAACUGAUUCACAAGUAUUUGAAGAUUCUAUUGAAUUACAAUCAUAUUUUAUUAGACAAAGAGAUGAAGUAUGUCGUAAUGGAGAUUUGCUGAAUUCGCCUGCUUUGAAUUAUUCCCUAUUGGAUUUAUCAUUAUCGGUAAAUGAUAUGAGAGAGAGAAAAAUGGCUGAAGAAUCUAUUAGUGGUAAUCCAGAAGAGGAUGAAAUUAAAACAGAAAACGAUAAUAUUCAAGAAGAACAAGAAGAAAAUUCACCACCUCUUAUUGCUGGCACUACUGAUGAUUCAGUAUGUGUAAAUCAAUUAGUUUAUAGAGUUGGCGAUUUUGUUUAUGCAGAACCCCAAGAACGUGGUCAAGAACUUAUGAUUUUAAAUAUUCAGCGAUUAUGGACUAAUCAAGAAUCACAACAAAUGCUGUAUGGAAAUCAUUUUUAUCGACCUAGUGAAACAUAUCAUUUAUCAACUCGGAAAUUUUUAGAAAAAGAGGUAUUCAAGACUGAUUUAAAUAUUACUAUACCAGUAAGCCGAAUUAAAGGCCGUUGCGCUGUCAUAAGUGUUAAAGAUUAUUUCCGUUAUCAACCUAAAGGGUUUAAUGAAAAGGAUGUAUAUGUAUGUGAAUCUAGGUAUUCAUCUAGAUGUAGAAAUUUUAAAAAAAUUAAGAAUUGGGCCUUAAGUUUAACUGCGACUUGGGAAUUAGUUGAAAGAGAAGAACCUUUGGAUCCUAAACGAGUGAUGUCUGUAUUUCGUGACCGUGUGGAAAAACAUAAAGAAGAGAUAGCUGAACUUGAAGAACAUGAAAAAAUAGUUGAAAAAGAAAAACCAAAUGUAUUAAUACCAAAUCCUCCUGGAGUUAUUGAUGAUGGAAGCAUUUAUUAUGAACAAUAUAACUGUCAUGCUGGUAUUCUCAAACCGGGUGAUUUUAUUUAUGUGAAAAAUGAUGGUCAAAAUCAGAUAAUACAAGUUGAUAGAAUUUGGGUCAAUAAACAAGGAGCCGCAUUUGUUUAUGGUCCUGUAUUAUUAACACCCAUGGAUCUUCCAAAUUUUUCUGGUCGACAGUUCUUCAAACAAGAAGUUCUUCUAACCAAUAAUGAAGAAACGGUACCAAUAUCAAAAAUUACAGGGAAAUGUUCUGUAUUGGAACAUGCUGAAUAUAUAUCAUGUCGUCCUGCUGAAAUAGCUGAAGAUGAUGUUUAUCUUUGUGAUUCAGUUUAUGAUGAAAAUACUAAACAAAUCAGAGAAUUGCCUAAAGAUGGUUUAAAAAAGUACACUCAUUCUCCAGCUGUAAAUCAAGAUGAAUUUUAUUUCUUUAGGAGACUCAUUCAUCCAGUAAAAGUUGGUGCAAUUGAAAAUCAUACUCAAUUGAAUGAUGUUAAAACAGUGUAUAACCAACAUUAUGAUUCUGUAUCAAAUGUUAGUUCUCCAGUAAUGCCUAAAUUAGAGCCAGCUGAUACAAUGACAGAGGAUUCAAUGGAUGGAGGUCCACCAUCUGUCAGCUCUUCUGAUCUGGGUGAACGUACUUUGAAUACUUCAACAAUCCUAUCUACACCAUCUAGAAAAAAAAAUCCUAAUCAUAAAAAAUUGGUUACUGGUUAUAUAUUAUAUACUAGUGAUGUUCGUAAAGCUGUUGUACAAAAUAAUCCAGACCGUAGUUUUGGUGAAGUUAGCCGUAUAGUUGGCAAUGAAUGGCGUAAUUUAUCACCAACAGAAAAAAUGGCAUACGAAGAACGGGCUAAUAGAUUAAACGAAGAGAAUUAUCCACAAUGGCGUCAACAAUCUCUUCAAGCACCACCCCCUCCUGAAGGUUCUGAUCUUAUAUGGGAGUGUGGUUGGGAUAAUUGUGAUUGGCAAUUUGAAGAUCAGUCAGAUUGUUUAGAUCAUGCUGUUGCUGACCAAUACGGACAUGUACAAACAUUCUUUGCUGCAAUUCCUCCGAGUGACAUUGAAUUUCAAUGUCAAUGGAGAGGGUGUCUCAGAGUUAAAAAGACUGGUAUUGCUCCAUUUCCAAGUUUGCAUCGUUUAGUUCGACACGUGAAGGAAGUGCAUAUACUUAAAAAUCCUGGAAAACAUGUACCAUUAUCAGAACGCAAUAAAAAUUUCAUGCUGAGCACGCGCUCAGCUAUUCCAACUACUUCUGUUUUAUCAGUAGCACCUGUGUCUCCACCACCAAUUGAAAAUUCUAAUGACAUGUAGCACAGUCAACACGUUUGAAAAGAGAACAAUUGAUUCAACAAACACCACAACAGUUUUCAAAUCAACCCGUUGGAGGAGCUGUCAAUGUGUU
rnacentral:misc_RNA from 1 species